CUAACUUUAUAUUUUUCACAAGUGACUGAUUUUACAAUUCAAAUACGCGAUUUUCAGUUCAUAUGACAACAAGUACUUUAUCAGUUACAUCAAAUAAUGCGUUCUAUAUUUAAACAAUUUCAAAGGUCUAUAUAUACUAUUAUAUGUGUGUGACAUUUCAUAAAUCAAGAAAAUUCACUCACACAAUUAGUUCUCUUCUUCCUCACAACCAAAUAGUGUUAAAAUGGCCAACAACAAGUUCCUAUCUCACAAGCUUUCUUUCUUUUUUUGUUUUCUACUUGUGACACUCAUUGUUAAUUCAUUUUGGUCAUGGAACAUUAAAGUGAUGGCUUUACGAGACCUAUCAUUAGAAGUACAAGUGAUUAAGCAGAUUGUACUACCAAAAUUGAGCUAUGCUCACAAAUGUUUUGAUCAAUGUGAAAUUAAUUUUGAUUGCAGAAAAUUGCAAGGCUGUGGGUAUUGUCGAAAAUCAAGUUAUAAGUCAAAAUUUAAGAGAUGUUUGACUCCACGUUGACGGGUUUUUUGAAGGACGGGAUUGGAUUAGGAGCGUUUUUAUUUCAAUUCUUUUUUUGUUUGAUAAGAAAUGUGAGUGUGUUUUUUUUGU